rnacentral:tRNA from 1 species
AAAGUGUAGCUAAAUCAACAAAGCACCUCCCUUACACUGAGAAGAUAUCCAUGCAAUUUGGAUCACUUUGAACC